UUCCCCGAGUAGCUGCGAGCGAAACGGGAAGAGCUCAGCACGCAGAGGUGAUGCACUGAUGCGCAUCCACCUGGUUCCGUGUACUGGGAAGUUCGUCAUCUGCCGUAACCAGCGGUUACCAGUUCAAGUUCAACUAGAAUGUGGCUUUUACUCCCAGAGAGGGUGAUAGGCCCGUAGAACGGCGCUGAUGGCAGAAGAGCUUCCCAUGGAGUCGUGUUGCUUGAUAGUGCAGCACAAAGUGGGAGGUAAACUCCUUCUAAAGCUAAAUAUCACCACGAGACCGAUAGCGAACAAGUACCGUGAGGGAAAGUUGAAAAGCACUCUGAAUAGAGAGUCAAACAGUACGUGAAACUGCCUAGGGCUCAAGCCCGUUGAACUCGAUUAUCCGAGCGGAGACAUUCACCGGCGGGAGUGUGCGGGGUGCGGCAGCGAUGCCGCCACCGCCGCCGCCGCCGCCGGGCACUUGUCUCUCGCGCCCACACGAGGACAUUGCGAUCCAUUACGAAGCAGCUUUGGCGUCGCAAGACGCAAGGUCGCCCGACAGUUGCCCCCUGGUGCCGGUUGCUUGCCCCACAGUAGCGACGCUCAGUUCCGAAGGCCUGUGCCGCGAGCUGGGGCUUACUGCACGUGGUGUUCUCUACUGCAGUCGGGCGCGUGAUGGAUUCCAGCGUACACCGUCGGCCUUCCCGCAGCGGGCCGGCGGACCGUCGAUCGGCAAUGAUAAAAUCGAGGUACCUCCGGGACCCGUCUUGAAACACGGACCAAGAAGUCUAUCUUGCGCGCGAGCCAAUGGUCGUGUCACCGGAGCACCAAAGGCGCAAAAAACAUAACUUGAGUUGUGCGGGAUUACGGGCGCGGCUCUCCGCGGCGUCCCUCCAUCCCCGGGUGUUGUAGCCGGCAUGCGGGGGCGGGCUUGCGCUCGCCACCGUGCCACAACAUACCGCGAGCGUGCAGGA
rnacentral:rRNA from 1 species